GCACAGCGAAAGGUGCUUGCACCUUUCAAGUGAGUGGCGAACGGGUGAGUAACACGUGGACAACCUGCCUCAAGGCUGGGGAUAACAUUUGGAAACAGAUGCUAAUACCGAAUAAAACUUAGUGUCGCAUGACAAAAAGUUAAAAGGCGCUUCGGCGUCACCUAGAGAUGGAUCCGCGGUGCAUUAGUUAGUUGGUGGGGUAAAGGCCUACCAAGACAAUGAUGCAUAGCCGAGUUGAGAGACUGAUCGGCCACAUUGGGACUGAGACACGGCCCAAACUCCUACGGGAGGCUGCAGUAGGGAAUCUUCCACAAUGGGCGAAAGCCUGAUGGAGCAACGCCGCGUGUGUGAUGAAGGCUUUCGGGUCGUAAAGCACUGUUGUAUGGGAAGAACAGCUAGAAUAGGAAAUGAUUUUAGUUUGACGGUACCAUACCAGAAAGGGACGGCUAACUACGUGCCAGCA
rnacentral:rRNA from 1 species